UGGAUUGAUGAUGACUACUGGUGGCAUAUGAGUCAUUUAUGAUGCACACAUGUCUGGAACUCUGAGGUCAAA